UCUUGGAAAAUCAUUGGAUAUUGUUAACCCUUAAAUCUGUAUAUGUUUAUUUAUUUGUUCAGUCAAACAAUCAUAAAAACAAAAAAACAAAGAAUUUUGCAUUUUGUUAAUUUAGACGAAUUCAUUGUUCAUAAACAGUGACAAAAUCCGAGGUUUAUACAAGUAUUUGAAGAAAACGGUAUUCGACAGAAUGAAGCUUUAAGUCUAAAAUGGAUUAGAAGGAACUGAAAUGAGCUACAUAAAUUGCUCUUAAUAUUGGAGAACUGCUAACAUUUAUAACCUUUUUAAUGAUUACACUAAAUCUUCACCUAUUGCUUUUCACUUACUUUAAUGGUCAUUCGAUUCAAACUUAUUUUAUCUAAAUCUAUUACCUUUUGCCAGUAAAAUACUGUAUAGUUAGUUAGCAAAGAAUAUAGGCGAGUAAAGCUCUAAACUAUCAUACUUCUAAAAUCAAAGAAAACCAAAGAAAAAAGCAGAUGAAAGAAUUUAGUAACAUCUGGAUUUUGAGUAAUAAACUGAUUGACCUAACUUAUUGACAGGUUGUGCGAUAUCAGUUGGUUUGCCAAAAACAACAAUAAUUGAAAAUUUAUGAAUGGAUUCACCAGAAUAUUAGCCUAAUUGCUUUUUGAUUCAUUUAAGGAAAUUCAACUUUUAAUUUGAAAUCAGCGAAAGCCGAAAAAAGGAUGGUAUGAAUUUGAAAUAUUUUUUAAUGCGAGCAGGUAAUAUU